AGACCCGAAACCCGGUGAUCUAGCCAUGGGCAGGUUGAAGGUUGGGUAACACUAACUGGAGGACCGAACCGACUAAUGUUGAAAAAUUAGCGGAUGACCUGUGGCUGGGGGUGAAAGGCCAAUCAAACCGGGAGAUAGCUGGUUCUCCCCGAAAGCUAUUUAGGUAGCGCCUCGUGAAUUCAUCUCCGGGGGUAGAGCACUGUUUCGGCUAGGGGGCCAUCCCGGCUUACCAACCCGAUGCAAACUGCGAAUACCGGAGAAUGUUAUCACGGGAGACACACGGCGGGUGCUAACGUCCGUCGUGAAGAGGGAAACAACCCAGACCGCCAGCUAAGGUCCCAAAGUCAUGGUUAAGUGGGAAACGAUGUGGGAAGGCCCAGACAGCCAGGAUGUUGGCUUAGAAGCAGCCAUCAUUUAAAGAAAGCGUAAUAGCUCACUGGUCGAGUCGGCCUGCGCGGAAGAUGUAACGGGGCUAAACCAUGCACCGAAGCUGCGGCAGCGACGCUGAUGCGUUGUUGGGUAGGGGAGCGUUCUGUAAGCCUGCGAAGGUGGCCUGUGAGGGUUGCUGGAGGUAUCAGAAGUGCGAAUGCUGACAUAAGUAACGAUAAAGCGGGUGAAAAGCCCGCUCGCCGGAAGACCAAGGGUUCCUGUCCAACGUUAAUCGGGGCAGGGUGAGUCGACCCCUAAGGCGAGGCCGAAAGGCGUAGUCGAUGGGAAACGGGUUAAUAUUCCCGUACUUGGUGUUACUGCGAAGGGGGGACGGAGAAGGCUAUGUUGGCCGGGCGACGGUUGUCCCGGUUUAAGCGUGUAGGUGUGUGUUCCAGGUAAAUCCGGUUCACUUUAACACUGAGGCGUGAUGACGAGGCACUACGGUGCUGAAGCAACAAAUGCCCUGC
rnacentral:rRNA from 1 species